GAUGAACGCUGGCGGCGUGCCUAAUACAUGCAAGUCGAGCGAACGGACGAGAAGCUUGCUUCUCUGAUGUUAGCGGCGGACGGGUGAGUAACACGUGGAUAACCUACCUAUAAGACUGGGAUAACUUCGGGAAACCGGAGCUAAUACCGGAUGAUAUUUUGAACCGCAUGGUUCAAAAGUGAAAGACGGUCUUGCUGUCACUUAUAGAUGGAUCCGCGCUGCAUUAGCUAGUUGGUAAGGUAACGGCUUACCAAGGCAACGAUGCAUAGCCGACCUGAGAGGGUGAGCGGCCACACUGGAACGGAGACACGGUCCAGACUCCUACGGGAGGCAGCAGUAGGGAAUCUUCCGCAAUGGGCGAAAGCCUGACGGAGCAACGCCGCGUGAGUGAUGAAGGUCUUCGGAUCGUAAAACUCUGUUAUUAGGGAAGAACAUAUGUGUAAGUAACUGUGCACAUCUUGACGGUACCUAAUCAGAAAGCCACGGCUAACUACGUG
rnacentral:rRNA from 1 species